rnacentral:lncRNA from 1 species
AAAGAUAACUUGUCAAAUCCGUUCGUUCGUCAUAUGUCAAAUUCAAUCAACUCAAAUCCACAUAAAACUUUAUGAAAACUCCUUUCCAUCAUUCACCUACCAUAGUUAUGAAUUUAGGACUCAGUCUCAUGAACUGUAUAGGAUCUUUUUCAUCUAUCAGGGUCAACAGAUUCUAUCUUGGUGUACAUCCUAUUCCUACACUAGACCUACUAUAGCCAACAUACAUCAUAAAAUUUUAAAUGGCUAGGUAACUAAGUGAUUGUGUAGUCAAACUAUAGCAAUCUCACUGUGAACAGUCGAGGUACCAUAGAUUAAAGCACUAUCUAUAUAACUGCAAUAUCGAGUA